rnacentral:rRNA from 1 species
UACGUAGGGUGCAAGCGUUAAUCGGAAUUACUGGGCGUAAAGCGUGCGCAGGCGGUUAUGUAAGACAGAUGUGAAAACCCCGGGCUUAACCUGGGAACUGCAUUUGUGACUGCAUGGCUAGAGUUUGGCAGAGGGGGGUAGAAUUCCACGUGUAGCAGUGAAAUGCGUAGAUAUGUGGAGGAAUACCGAUGGCGAAGGCAGCCCCCUGGGUCAAGACUGACGCUCAUGCACGAAAGCGUGGGGAGCAAACAGG